rnacentral:rRNA from 1 species
UACGAACCGGACAAACGUUAUUCGGAAUUAUUGGGCUUAAAGGGUAUGUAGGCGGCCUUGUAAGUCGGGUGUGAAAGCCCACGGCUCAACCGUGGAACUGCGCCCGAUACUGCACGGCUUGAGGGAGACAGGGGUGAGCGGAACUGAUGGUGGAGCGGUGAAAUGCGUUGAUAUCAUCAGGAACACCGGUGGCGAAAGCGGCUCGCUGGGUCUCUACUGACGCUGAGAUACGAAAGCUAGGGUAGCGAACGGG